GUCAUCAGAAAAAUCGCUGAUUACGUGCAGCAGCGCGGUAUAGUAGUGGCAGCAUCUUCGGAUUAUUGGCGUAAAAGAGCGCAGCCGGUGUUUUAUGUAUGAUGUGAAGAACUCGUCUUAUCAGAGGAAGAGCAUCGUAGACUGGGAAAUUGAGUGCAGAAGAGGACAGCGGAGCUCCACGUGUAGCGGCGAAAGACGUAGAUAUAUGUAAGAACACCACUGGCGAAGACGGCUGUCUUGUAUGUAGCUGACGCUGAGGCUCGUAAACAUGGGUAGUGAACAGCAGUAUAUAACCCCGUAGUACACCACGUAAACGAUGAAUGCUAGGUGUUGGAGGGUUUCCGCCCUUCAGUGCCGCAGCUAACGCAUUAAAGCAUUCCGCCUGGGGAGUACGACCGCAAGGUUGAAACUCAAAGGAAUUGACGGGGGCCGCACAAGCGGUGGAGCAUGUGGUUUAAUUCGAAGCAACGCGAAGAACCUUACCAGGUCUUGACAUCUUUUGAUCACCUGAGAGAUCAGGUUUCCCCUUCGGGGGCAAAAUGACAGGUGGUGCAUGGUGGUCGUCAGAUCGUGUCGUGAGAUGUUGGGGUAAGUAUCGCAACGAGCGCAACCCUUAUGACUAGUUGCCAGCAUUUAGUUGGGCACUCUAGUAAGACUGCCGGUGACAAAACGGAGGAAGAAGGGGAGGACGUCAAAUCAUCAUCCCCCCCAUGACCUGGGGUACACCCGUGGCUACAAUGGAUGGUACAACGAGUUGCGAGACCGCGAGGUCAAGCUAAUCUCUUAAAGCCUUUUCAGUUCUGAGUGUAGUAGGCAACUCGCCUCCUCGAAGUAGGAAUCGCUAGUAAUCGCGGAUCAGCACGCCGCGGUGAAUACGUUCCCGGGCCUCGUACACACCGCCCGUCACACCACCAGAGUUUGUAACACCCGAAAACCGGUGGCGUAAACCCCUUUAGGGAGUCCAGCCGUCCUUUUGGGGUUCCCCUGA
rnacentral:rRNA from 1 species